UUAAGAAAAAAAAAAAGAAAUUGAACGCAUUCGAUAUUUCGAGUGAACGGUGUGAAUAUUUUCGAAGGAUAAGCUGUUAAAAUUUGUGCGGAAUUCUGCUUUACAUAUGCAUAUGUAUAUAUAUAUAUAUACACGUAAAAAUUGUUCUUUUAUGUGACGUGAUGCAUGUCAGACGUUGAAUUGUGCGAGUGAUUGCAACUCACUCUUGACUUGAUUGAAAAUAUCAGAGGAGAAGAAAUCUGUCAUUAUGGAAUCAGCACGCAUAUAAUGGUGAACUAACAAGCAAAUCUUAAACCCUCGACACACGUACUGUCCGUCCACGAGAAAAUGUCAAGCAGAAGAGUACAGCGAUCCACGUCAUUGGACCUCUUACCUUGCACUGCACAUGCUCGAGAAACCGGACCUCGUUCACGGAUCCAGCGCAACCAGUGACGUCCAUGUAAACGCUCAGCGUGUAGCCGUAGGUCGGGUCGAUGCGCCUCUCC